AGAGUUUGAUCAUGGCUCAGAUUGAACGGCUGGCGGUAGGCUUAACACAUGCAAGUCGUGCGAGAAAGUAUCUUCGGAUAUGAGUAGAGCGGCGGACGGGGUGAGUAACGCGUAGGGAAUCUACCUAGUAGAAGGGGAUAGCCCGGGGAAACCCGGAUUAAUACCGUAUACCUCCUUCGGGAGAAAGAAGGCCUCUCUUUGAAGCUUUCGCUACUAGAUGAGCCUGCGUAAGAUUAGCUUGUUGGUGAGGUAAAGGCUCACCAAGGCGACGAUCUUUAGCUGGUCUGAGAGGACGAUCAGCCACAUUGGGACUGAGACACGGCCCAGACUCCUACGNCAGGCAGCAGUGGGGAAUAUUGGACAAUGGGCGCAAGCCUGAUCCAGCCAUACCGNGNGUGUGAAGAAGGCCUUCGGGUUGUAAAGCACUUUAAGCAGGGAGAAAAAGUUAUAAGUUAAUCC
rnacentral:rRNA from 1 species